GAUGAACGCUGGCGGUAUGCUUAACACAUGCAAGUCGAACGGACUCUUCGGAGUUAGUGGCGGACGGGUGAGUAACGCGUGAGAAUCUGGCUUUGGGUUCGGGACAACCACUGGAAACGGUGGCUAAUACCGGAUGUGCCGAGAGGUAAAAGAGAAAUUGCCCGAAGAUGAGCUCGCGUCUGAUUAGCUAGUUGGUGAGGUAAAGGCUCACCAAGGCAGCGAUCAGUAGCUGGUCUGAGAGGAUGACCAGCCACACUGGGACUGAGACACGGCCCAGACUCCUACGGGAGGCAGCAGUGGGGAAUUUUCCGCAAUGGGCGAAAGCCUGACGGAGCAAUACCGCGUGAGGGAAGAAGGCUCUUGGGUUGUAAACCUCUUUUCUUAGGGAAGAACAAAAUGACGGUACCUAAGGAAUCAGCAUCGGCUAACUCCGUG
rnacentral:rRNA from 1 species